rnacentral:rRNA from 1 species
UCGGGAAUUUUGGGCAAUGGGGGAAACCCUGACCCAGCAACGCCGCGUGAAGGAUGAAGUAUUUCGGUAUGUAAACUUCGAAAGAAUAGGAAGAAUAAAUGACGGUACUAUUUAUAAGGUCCGGCUAACUACGUGCCAGCAGCCGCGGUAAUACGUAGGGACCAAGCGUUGUUCGGAUUUACUGGGCGUAAAGGGCGCGUAGGCGGCUUGACAAGUCACUUGUGAAAUCUCUGGGCUUAACCCAGAACGGCCAAGUGAAACUGUCAUGCUAGAGUGCAGAAGGGGCAAUCGGAAUUCUUGGUGUAGCGGUGAAAUGCGUAGAUAUCAAGAGGAACACCUGAGGUGAAGACGGGUUGCUGGGCUGACACUGACGCUGAGGCGCGAAAGCCAGGGGAGCAAACGGGAUUAGAUACCCGUGUAGUCCCUGAGCGGGCUGGCAAGGCGCAU